GCGAUCAUCAGCAGUAUGAAGAGGAGCUGUGGGGCCAGUGAGAGAAGCUGCAGCCUGUUGAGACUCCACAAGACUGAAGAUAUGAAAAGAGGAAAUAUGCAUGAAUGCCCGCACGGAGAACCACCCCCACCUGCUGCUCCCGCUCUAAUGAUCACGCCCAUUAUCAACUGGGGGAUGGCUCUGUGCCUUGUCCUUGCAUUACAUGGACCAAGAACACUUCACAGGACUCAGAGAGGCAAAAAUAGAUACAAAAGAAGAAGGAAUUACAGAAGAAGUCACAUAACAUUAUUGCCUACAACUGACUGUUUACCUUGAAUACUUGAAGACCAGAAUGAAGAUUCUUGGGGUGAAGAAUUACAGCCUUAGCAUGGAGCAGGCCUCGGUGCAUCGGCUUUCAGCUAGGCAUGCCUGCCAAUGUUCAACGUCCUCCUGGGAUACGGAAGGCACCGUGAUAGACAUCUGGGCAAGUCAACAGGAAGGUGGAUAUCCAAAUCUCUCUCUUCGCAAUGAGUUUCCAGUUAGAUGGAGGAGAGAGUAAUAAAACACAGAGCUGAGAUUCCUGACUUCACAGAUCCCUGAGGAGAUGUUUACUAAAGGGAAUCUUCUGGUCACUGUUACCUUCCUCCGUACUUACCUGCCUCAUGGAGAACCCGAAAGGAAGAAGCUAUACGACUGGGGACACAUGUCUUAGAAGCACACUCAUUAGAUAAAGUGUCGCAUACUCUUUGAUAAGAGGUUGCUGAAGUCAAAAGCAGCUCACUCCCAGUUCACUGAGCUUGAGUUCCGGCUGCAACUUGGCCUUGAGAUUUUUGAAACGUUGAUAUGGAAGAUAAAGAAAAACGCAGAUUCCUGUCUUCUAAGGAACAAAGGCUGGAAGACAGUUCUGCAGAUUCUGCCUUUGAGGGAUUAGAGGGAUGUGCCCAGGACCAGAUCUUCAGUUAUGCAAAUAUACCUUAGAGACCACAGUAAGAAAGACAUCGCUCUGAAAUGCUCUGGUCCCAAGGAAAAUAUUGCUCUAUAUAAUAAUGGAAAACGUUGUCUGUGUAUCAUGCUGAGCUGCAUUUUAUUUUGUACCCUUGAGAGAGCUUUUAUUUUCUUAUAAAUAAGGAUUGGUCUUGUUCUGGGUCUGAAAACUGUUGUGUAUUUUUGAGAUGUCUAUUUUUCUUUUCAGUUGCCUGUAAGAGAUUGGGAGCCGAGGGCCUGAGGGUGAAGCCUCGUUUGUGCAGGUGACUGUGGGACUCUGGUGUAAGUAACGCUGGGCCCACCCUGGUAAUGAAGGAAGACCCAGGCCCAGGCAGGGGCGGUGUCACAGGCACAGGGGCUCGCACCCUGGGCACUGACGGUGGCUGUCGCACCAGGGCCGCUCCUUGCAGAAACCUCACUGAGCCUGUGCCUGUUGAGUAGCUUCAUGAGGAGCGGAUAUCAGGCAGAGAAAGCCCGGGCAAGAGAGUGACACACGGGGCUUCUGCCCAGAACACGUGCGCCCACAAUCCCGGGAGCUGUACAAAUCCCAAGCGGGGAAGCGGAGGCCUCGACAGUUCAUGAUGCGGACAUGAAUGGGAAUGCGGCCGCUUGCCACACCUCCUUCUUCAUUUGGGGAAAUGCUUGAAGGUUUGUUUUGUGAAUGCUAGGUUAAGGUUUGGAAGUUUAUUUUAAAAAUUGACAUCAUGGCCGGGCGCGGUGGCUCACGCCUGUGAUCCCAGCACUUUGGGAGGCCGAGGCGGGCGGAUCACGAGGUCAGGAGAUCGAGA
rnacentral:lncRNA from 1 species